rnacentral:lncRNA from 1 species
GCAUGUGUCCUUCUUACCGGUUGGAACAUCGUGUGGAUAUAUGCCCAGGAGAGGUAUUGCGGUAUCCUCCGGUAGUACUAUGUCCAAUUUUCUGAGGAACCACCAGACUGAUUUCCAGAGUGGUUGUACAAGCUUGCAAUCCCACCAGCAAUGAAGGAGUGUUCCUCUUUCUCCACAUCCUCGCCAGCAUCUGCUGUCACCUGAAUUUUUGAUCUUAGCCAUUUUGACUGGUGUAAGGUGGAAUCUCAGGGUUGUUUUGAUUUGCAUUUCCCUGAUGAUUAAGGAUGCUAAACAUUUUUUCAGGUGCUUCUCAGCCAUUCAGUAUUCUUCAGAGUGCUAACAGUUCCACUGCAAUGACUCAACUACCACUGAACUCUCUGCCCAUCUCAUUGCCAUGCCAGUGAGGCCCAGGAUUCUGCAGUCACCACAGCCAUCUCUGAUCCAUGAUGGCCCAUGGUCACAUCAGACCAACAGGAAAUUGCUGGCAACAGAUGGCAUCAGUCGAACCCUGCCUUGCAUUGCCUUCAAUCCACCCCCCACUUCUCUCCUUGACAUCAGCAGUGUCUAGCACGUCCCCCCCCCCACCACCACUUCUUUCCUUGACAUCAGCAGUGUCUAGCACGUCCAUCUCCCAGGAAGUCUGCAGCACUCCAGGAUCUCUUUCAACUCAAGUGGCAUGGACUGGAAUUUGGUUGUUGAAAAGAAGAAAUGAUUGAUGGCUGAGUGAGCCAUUUUCAGGGAAUGUGCAAUCAUUAAAAAACAAAUAAGUAAAAACCACAAAGCAUCAGCAAGUCCUAGGGUGGCAUAAAAGAGACAUCAAGCUGGCACACCUGUGUGUGGGACUAAAGCUAGAGAGCAAAUAAGAACCUGGAUGGUCAUCUCUGAAAGGAACCUUGAGCAGCCAAGUGCAGGGGUGGUCAGGGGACCUGCCCUUUACCACAUCAACUUUGGUAUUUGCAUUGAAGUUACAGGUGUAAACUGGUUUGUUAACUUUAGUGUUGACCACAUAAUUAGUCAUAACUAGAUACACUCCAUCAGUGUCCUGAGUGGUGCUAUCAGCCAGCGAGGCCAUGGGAACUCGGCUUAUCAAUGAAUAAGGUCAAAUGGAACUUCAUCUCAAGAAUUGGCUUUAACAGACUUACAAUAAAAACUUUUGUUUAUC